UGGGGAAUAUUGCACAAUGGGCGAAAGCCUGAUGCAGCAACGCCGCGUGAGUGAUGAAGGCCUUCGGGUUGUAAAGCUCUGUCUUUUGGGACGAUAAUGACGGUACCAAAGGAGGAAGCCACGGCUAACUACGUGCCAGCAGCCGCGGUAAUACGUAGGUGGCAAGCGUUGUCCGGAUUUACUGGGCGUAAAGGAUGCGUAGGCGGAUUUUUAAGUGAGAUGUGAAAACCCUAAGCUUAACUUGGGGACUGCAUUUCAUACUGGAAAUCUAGAGUGCGGGAGAGGAGAAUGGAAUUCCUAGUGUAGCGGUGAAAUGCGUAGAGAUUAGGAAGAACACCAGUGGCGAAGGCGAUUCUCUGGACCGUAACUGACGCUGAGGCAUGAAAAGCGUGGGUAGCAAACAGGAUUAGAUACCCUGGUAGUCCACGCCGUAAACGAUGAGUACUAGGUGUAGGAGGUAUCGACCCCUUCUGUGCCGCAGUUAACACAAUAAGUACUCCGCCUGGGGAAGUACGAUCGCAAGAUUAAAAACUUAAAGGAAUUGACGGGGGUCAUAGCUGUUUUCCU
rnacentral:rRNA from 1 species